rnacentral:rRNA from 1 species
CGUAGGGGGCAAGCGUUGUCCGGAUUUAUUGGGCGUAAAGAGCGUGUAGGCGGCUUUACAGGUCCGUUGUGAAAACUCGAGGCUCAACCUCGAGACGCCGGUGGAAACCGUAAAGCUAGAGUCCGGAAGAGGAGAGUGGAAUUCCUGGUGUAGCGGUGAAAUGCGCAGAUAUCAGGAAGAACACCCGUGGCGAAGGCGGCUCUCUGGGACGGUACUGACGCUGAGACGCGAAAGCGUGGGGAGCAAACAGGAUUAGAUACCCUGGUAGUCCACGCCGUAAACGAUGGGUGCUAGGUGUGGGCGGUGUCGACUCCGUCCGUGCCGAAGCUAACGCAUUAAGCACCCCGCCUGGGGAGUACGGCCGCAAGGCUA